UUAGAGUGUUCAAAGCAAACUGGUUGCCAGAAUACUCCAGUUAGGAAUAAUGGAAUAGGACUCCGGGUCUAUUUUGUUGGUUUUUGGAACUGGGGCCAUGAUUAAGAGGGAUGGCUGGGGGCAUUCAUACUGUGCCACUAGAGGUGAAAUUCUUGGACCAGCGCAAGAUGAAAAAAAAAGAAAAGAAAAAAGGGACGCAGUGGCUCAGU
rnacentral:ncRNA from 1 species